UACGGGGGGUGCAAACGUUGCUCGGAAUUAUUGGGCGUAAAGCGCACGUAGGCGGUCCUGUAAGUCGGGUGUGAAAGCCCCAGGCUUAACCUGGGAAGUGCACUCGAAACUGCAGGGCUUGAGUAUGGAAGAGGGUCUCGGAAUUCCCGGUGUAGAGGUGAAAUUCGUAGAUAUCGGGAGGAACACCUGUGGCGAAGGCGGCCCCCUGGUCGGAUACUGACGCUGAGACGCGAAAGCGUGGGGAGCAAACAGGG
rnacentral:rRNA from 1 species